CUGCGCCGCGCCGCCAUGUCGCGGGUGAGCAGCCCCGGGCCGGCCGGCAGCGCCAAGGAGAAGCGCUCCUUCAGCAAGCGGCUCUUCCGCGGGCGGGCGGCGGGCGGCGGCGCGGGCUCGGCCCCGGCCGCCGCCCCGGCGCCCUCCGGGCGGUCGCUCGGCGGGUUCAUGAGCCGCGUGCUGAAGACCCUCUCCACGCUCUCGCACUACAGCAGCGAGCCCGAGCCCCGCGGCGCCCUCGCCCCGCGCCUGCCCCCGCCGCAGGCGGCGGGCGGCCUGGGCAGCUGCUUCCCGCCGGGCCCGCCGCGCAGCCCCGAGCCCCCGCCGCGCCCCGCCGGCGGCUCCGAGGCCGUGCCCGGCGUGGCGGGGCUGCGCAACCACGGCAACACCUGCUUCAUGAACGCCAUCCUGCAGUGCCUCAGCAACACCGAGCUCUUCGCCGAGUUCCUGGCGCUGGAGCAGUUCCGCGGCGGGCCGCCCCCCGCCGACGGGCCGCCGCCCGCGCCCGGCGAGGUCACGGAGCAGCUGGCGCAGCUGGUGCGGGCGCUCUGGACUCUGGAGUACACCCCGCAGCACAGCCGCGACUUCAAGAACAUUGUGUCCAAGAAUGCGAUGCAGUACCGUGGGAAUGCCCAGCACGAUGCCCAGGAGUUCCUCCUUUGGCUCCUCGACAGAGUGCACGAGGAUCUGAACAACGUGGUGAAUUCCAGCAGCAUGCCUCCGAUCAAGCCGCCACUGGAGGAUGAUGUGCUGCUUGAGGGCCCAGCCUUUCCCAUCAGUAGCACUUUCGUGCAGGAACUCUUUCAAGCCCAGUACAGGUCCUCCCUGACGUGCCCUCAUUGCCAGAAGCAAAGCAACACCUUUGACCCUUUCCUCUGCAUCUCGCUGCCGAUCCCUCUGCCCCACACACGGCCACUCUUUGUCACUGUGGUGUACCAGGGCAAGUGCUCGCACUGCAUGCGGAUUGGAGUGGCUGUGCCCAUCUCUGGAACGGUGGCCAGGCUGCGGGAGGCCGUCUCCUCGGAAACCAAGAUACCCACGGAGCAGAUCGUGCUGACGGAGAUGUACUACGAUGGGUUCCAUCGCUCCUUCUGCGACACUGAUGACCUGGACACCAUCCAUGAGAGCGACUGCAUUUUUGCCUUUGAGACCCCAGAGAUCUUCAGGCCCGAGGGCAUCCUCAGUCAGAGAGGAAUACAUGUGAACAAUAACCUGAAUAACUUGAAAUGUGGCACUGAGCACUCCCGAACAAUAGCUUACUCUCAAGGAAUGGUGAAGUCUGGAAAACUGGAACAGUCCUCUACUAAACCAGCAGCAAAUGACAAGAUUGUCUUGCUGGUGUGUAACAGAGCAUGCACUGGACAGCAGAGCAAAAGGUUUGGCUUGCCCUUUGUGUUGCAUUUGGAAAAAACAAUUGCUUGGGAUAUUCUGCAGAAGGAAAUUCUGGAGAAGAUGCAGUAUUUCCUGCGGCCUGCAGCCUGCUUGCAGGUUUGCCCGUUCAGCUUGCGAGUGGUCAGUGUUGUGGGCAUAACGUACUUGCUACCUCAGGAGGAGCGACCCCUCUGCCACCCAACAGUGGAAAGGGCAUUGAAGUCAUGUGGACAGGGGGGAACUGCUCAUGUGAAAUUAGUGGUAGAAUGGGACAAAGAAACUAAAGAUUACUUGUUUGUGAAUACGGAAGAGGAGUAUAUUCCAGACUCUGAAAGCGUCCGCCAGCAGAGAGAGCUUCAUCAUCAACCUCAGAUCUGCACUUUAUCUCAGUGUUUCCAACUGUACACCAAAGAGGAACAGCUUGCCCCAGAUGACGCAUGGCGAUGCCCACACUGCAAGCAGCUGCAGCAGGGUAGCAUCACACUGAGCCUCUGGACCUUACCUGAUGUUCUCAUCAUACAUCUCAAAAGGUUUAGACAGGAAGGAGACCGAAGGAUGAAACUUCAGAACAUGGUUAAAUUCCCCCUGAGUGGCUUGGACAUGACUCCUCAUGUUGUGAAACGCAGCCAGAGCAGCUGGAGCUUGCCAUCGCACUGGUCACCUUGGAGGAGACCUUAUGGCCUCGGGAGGGAUCCUGAGGACUAUAUCUAUGACCUGUAUGCUGUCUGCAACCACCAUGGCACCAUGCAAGGGGGACACUAUACAGCAUAUUGCAAGAACUCUGUUGAUGGCCAGUGGUACUGCUUCGAUGACAGUGAUGUUCAGCAACUUUCUGAAAGCGAAGUCUGCAAGCAGACAGCUUACAUCCUGUUCUACCAGCGACGCACAGCAAUCCCCUCGUGGUCUGCCAACAGCUCGGUGGCAGGCUCCACGAGCUCCUCGCUGUGCGAGCACUGGGUCAGCCGGCUCCCUGGCAGCAAACAGCCCAGCAUCGCCUCGGCCGCCUCGUCGCGCCGCACCUCCCUCGCCUCGCUCUCGGAGUCGGUGGAGCUCGCUGGGGAACGGAGUGAAGAUGAUGGAGGAUUUUCAACUCGGCCAUUUGUAAGGAGUGUCCAGCGUCAGAGCUUGUCGUCCAGAUCCUCUGUCACCAGCCCACUGGCAGUGAGUGAAAACGGCGUCAGACCCUCAUGGUCACUCUCUGCAAAACUCCAGUUCCGCUCCAACUCCCCGUCGCGCUUCUCUGGAGAUUCCCCAGUACACACUUCUGCUUCCACCCUGGAGAAGAUUGGGGAAGCUACUGAUGACAAAGUCUCCACCUCAUGUUUUGGCAGCCUGAGGAAUCUGUCCAGUAGCUACUUGGAGCCUUGUGACAGCGGUCGGCGAGAGCACAGGACGGCUCGUAGAGCCCCUUUGGCUGUCAUGGAAGGGGCGUUCAGGGAAGAGUCGGUUGUAAGGACAUCAAGCUCAGACCUUUCAGAUGGGUAUGGUAAAAGCUCUGUGCAGCCAGACAGGAAUCACCCUGCUCUGGACCCUUUUGAUAACAACAAUCAAAUCGCCUUUGUUGACCAGAGCGAUUCUGUGGACAGCUCCCCAGUGAAGGAGGUGAAAGCCCCUGGUGGGACGGGGCUGGCUGCAGAGAAGGCACGUGACACCCCUAAGAAGGGUCACAGCUCCAAGGGAGCUUCUGAGCCGGACAAAAGUAUGAGGAAGGGAAGGACGGUUUUAUCUACCCAAGAGACCAAAGUCUCUCACUCUUCUCCUCCACUGAAGAGUUCCCAGAAAGUUUCCCGGUCUAGAAGUAAGACAGACUCUUCUAGGGCCAGUGGGCGACAUGGGUCUCCUGCUCCUGCUCAGGCUAGGAAGGAUCACAGCACGAAGCCACUGGAGACAUCUGUUCCAUCGGCGCAACAGAGGCAAAAGUCAGGUUCUUCUCCAUCCUCCACAGCUGCCAAGAAAACCCCAUCAGGCUCACUGACUAAGGGCUCUUCCGCUGGGAAGAGCCGGACUUCCGACCGCAGCCUCAGCAGGGAGGGCUCCAAGAUAAGUCUGGGGUCGGAUAAAACAAGCGUUACCAGCAGCUCAAGAACGAGCUCCCCACGGAUCAGCCACUCCAGGAGCGACAGCAGGGCAGUGGACAGCAAGCACGUGCGGAGCUCCUCCAUGGCCAACCUGCGGUCUCCAAAUGCCGGGGCACGUUCUGGUUUGAAGAGGGACAGCAAGUCAGAAGAGAAAGGGUUGUCUUUCUUUAAAUCAGCCUUAAGGCAGAAGGAGACCCGGAGGUCAGCAGACCUGGGGAAGACAACAAUGCUCUCAAAAAAGACAGGGAGUGUCAGUUCCAAGUCGGGCAGUAAAAACAUGCUGGAGGAUAAACCAGAGAAAGGUGUUGUCCCACCAGCCUCCCAAACCAAUGCCAACAUUACUGCUAAAGAAAAACUUGUCUCAAAGGAUACCACACCCAACAAACAUUCUCUGCUAUCCAGUCGCAAGUCCAAGUCUUCCCAGCUAGAUCCUGGAGUCCAGUCUUCUCCUUCCAGUGGCAAGCAGCCUGCUGACAAGCCGCUGAAAAAAUUACCUUCCAGCAUGCAGGUGUCUGUACAGCCUUCUCUGGAACCUCAGUGAAAUGCUGCAAUCCAGACCAUCAGCCCAGGUCCUGCGGCGCUCGGCCACAGUCCCGAGAGCGAGGGGGGGACCUGCACCAGAGCCUUUGUGCCGCAGGGUGUGCAGUGGUGGUUCUGGACCGAGGGGAGCGUGUGGCUGCCAGAUGGGAAUAUGUGGAUGGGCUGUUCCUGCCACCUGCCCAGUGAGGAUGAGGAUGGAGCAAGGCAGGAGGAGGAUGGGCUGUUGCUCCCAGCUGCUGAAGGGAAACCUCUGUCCCUGGUGUAUCAUCUGUAGGUGACCCCCUGGGCUGGGAGAGCUGCUCCAGCUGCCGUGGCUGCAGGCACCAUCCCCGUGGCUGCUGGGCUGCCCAGUCUCAGGUCAAACGGGGUGCAAAAUGCUUUAGUGGUCCAGCAUGUCCUCUCAGCUGAAGAACGGGGAAGAAUGGAAGACAAUGUGGUUGGCUCUUGGAGGGCAUUUCCACUGCAGACUGUGAUCCUACUGCUCCAUUAAGCCCUCGGAUUGGUGCAGCAGGGGCUGGGUCAAGCUUCACAAACUCACCUUUCAACACAAUUUUUAAUUUGCAAGGAUUUUUUCCUCUCUCCUUUCUCCUCCAUGCACGUUUUUGCAGGGGGGGGACUGUUGACACAGGUCAGCAGCACUGUUGGUGCAUGCCCCAUGCUCCUUCAGUGCUCACCAAGGUGGGAGUUACCUUUGAAUCCCCCUUGGUCCCCAAAUCUCCAAAUUGACCGCCCUGAUCUCCCAUUGCCUGGCUUUGGUCACAGAAAUGCUGAUGGUGCGUUUGCCAACAGCUAUGCUGCAUCACCCCUUGCUCCCACGGGUCCCUGAGCCUCUGGGGACACAUGGCCCCUGCCAGCCCCUGCCAUGCAGCUUUGGUCUGUGUUUCUAUCCAUCCUGCUGGGAAAGGCAAGCCAGAGCCUCAGCCUGGGUGCUGUGCUGGGCAGUCACGCACAUGAGUCCCACCCUUACCAUGUACUAGAGGCAUUGCUUCACUUGUGUAGAAAUGGGGAUGGCAGAUGUCGUAUUAAAUCAUGGGCUCAUCACUUAUCUAUAGGUGAUUACAUUAAAGAGAGAUUAAUAUAGCCAAAGGCUUUGCAGAAUUAGAGUUAAUGUACUUGUGUUUAUUAUAUUUGCCAACGUUUCUCCAAUCCAGCUGGGUUUUUCUGGCCGUGGGAUUUAACAGAGACCCUGCUGCUGUUCUCCAGCCUUGCUGGGAGGGAGCAAGAGGCCCAUGGAAAACACAUGAGAACUUUGAUCUUCGAGAGAUUAAUUUUAUUGCCUCCCUCUUUCUGAGGGUCUGUGGCAGGGGCUUGGUGCACAGUGAGGACAGAGCAGGGCAGGACUCAGGGGUGGUUAAAGCUGUGUCAGGAGGGGAGCC